rnacentral:lncRNA from 1 species
UCCUUCAUCUGCUUGGCAAUCACGGCAUGAACCGGGCCGCCAGUGGUACCUCCUCCCCCAACAUCCCGAUUGGCCGAUUCCUCCUGCACUCCAUCAGCCGGCAAGCACCUGGGGUCUCCCGUGUCCAUGUUCUCCCCUUCUCCCGGACAUGACAAGCUGCCCAUUGGAGCCCCCGCCGGGACCCCGCCGCCGGCAGCCGAUGUAGAGGCCGAAAUCGAGUUCCCCGG